GGGCCGUUAGCUCAGCUGGUAGAGCACAGGAUUUUUAAUCCUGGUGCCACUGGUUCAAACCCAGUACGGCUCA
rnacentral:tRNA from 2 species